rnacentral:rRNA from 1 species
CGGGUGAGUAACACGUGGAUAACCUACCUAUAAGACUGGGAUAACUUCGGGAAACCGGAGCUAAUACCGGAUAAUAUUUUGAACCGCAUGGUUCAAAAGUGAAAGACGGUCUUGCUGUCACUUAUAGAUGGAUCCGCGCUGCAUUAGCUAGUUGGUAAGGUAGCGGCUUACCAAGGCAACGAUGCAUAGCUGACCUGAGAGGGUGAUCGGCCACACUGGAACUGAGACACGGUCCAG